rnacentral:rRNA from 1 species
GACGAACGCUGGCGGCGUGCUUAACACAUGCAAGUCGAACGGAAAGGCCCUGCUUUUGUGGGGUGCUCGAGUGGCGAACGGGUGAGUAACACGUGAGUAACCUGCCCUUUACUUUGGGAUAACUUCAGGAAACUGGGGCUAAUACCGGAUAGGAGCUCCUGCUGCAUGGUGGGGGUUGGAAAGUUUCGGCGGUUGGGGAUGGACUCGCGGCUUAUCAGCUUGUUGGUGGGGUAGUGGCUUACCAAGGCUUUGACGGGUAGCCGGCCUGAGAGGGUGACCGGCCACAUUGGGACUGAGAGACGGCCCAGACGCCUACGGGAGGCAGCAGUGGGGAAUAUUGCAGAAUGGGCGGAAGCCUGAUGCAGCAACGCCGCGUGCGGGAUGACGGCCUUCGGGUUGUAAACCGCUUUCGCCUGUGACGAAGCGUGAGUGACGGUAAUGGGUAAAGAAGCACCGGCUAACUACGUG